rnacentral:rRNA from 1 species
AUUGAACGCUGGCGGCAGGCCUAACACAUGCAAGUCGAACGGUAACAGGAAGAAGCAUGCUUCUUUGCUGACGAGUGGCGGACGGGUGAGUAAUGUCUGGGAAACUGCCUGAUGGAGGGGGAUAACUACUGGAAACGGUAGCUAAUACCGCAUAACGUCGCAAGACCAAAGAGGGGGACCUUCGGGCCUCUUGCCAUCGGAUGUGCCCAGAUGGGAUUAGCUAGUAGGUGGGGUAACGGCUCACCUAGGCGACGAUCCCUAGCUGGUCUGAGAGGAUGACCAGCCACACUGGAACUGAGACACGGUCCAGACUCCUACGGGAGGCAGCAGUGGGGAAUAUUGCACAAUGGGCGCAAGCCUGAUGCAGCCAUGCCGCGUGUAUGAAGAAGGCCUUCGGGUUGUAAAGUACUUUCAGCGGGGAGGAAGGGAGUAAAGUUAAUACCUUUACUCAUUGACGUUACCCGCAGAAGAAGCACCGGCUAACUCCGUG